CCUACGGGAGACAGCAGUGGGGAAUAUUGGGCAAUGGGCGCAAGUCUGACCCAGCAACGCCGCGUGAAGGAAGAAGGCUUUCGGGUUGUAAACUUCUUUUAAGAGGGAAGAGCAGAAGACGGUACCUCUUGAAUAAGCCACGGCUAACUACGUGCCAGCAGCCGCGGUAAUACGUAGGUGGCAAGCGUUUUCCGGAUUUACUGGGUGUAAAGGGCGUGCAGCCGGGAAGACAAGUCAGAUGUGAAAUCCCGGGGCUCAACCGGGGAACUGCAUUUGAAACUGUUUUUCUUGAGUACAGGAGAGGUCAUCGGAAUUCUUUGUGUAGCGGUGAAAUGCGUAGAUAUAAGGAAGAACACCAGUGGCGAAGGCGGAUGACUGGACGGCAACUGACGGUGAGGCGCGAAAGCGUGGGGAGCAAACAGGAUUAGAUACCCUAGUAGUC
rnacentral:rRNA from 1 species